UCUUCUUGCUGGAGCUUUACAACCCGUUAUUGGGUUACUUAGUUCCUCCUGUCCGGAAAGCCAAAGGGAAGCAGCUUUAUUACUUGGACAAUUUGCAGCAACCGACUCCGACUGCAAGAUUCACAUUGUGCAAAGAGGUACCGUACCGCCACUGAUUGAGAUGCUUCAAUCUCUGGAUGCUCAACUUAGGGAAAUGUCAGCCUUUGCCCUUGGAAGGUUGGCACAGGACACUCACAAUCAGGCUGGUAUUGCUCAUUGUGGUGGAAUAGUCCCAUUAUUGAAGCUUCUAGAAUCAAAAAAUGGAUCGUUGCAACAUAAUGCUGCAUUUGCUCUUUAUGGGCUUGCUGAUAACGAGGAUAAUGUUACAGAUCUUGUAAAGGUUGGAGGUGUUCAAAAGCUUCAGGAUGGAGAAUUUAUUGUCCAACCAACUAGAGAUUGUGUUGCGAAGACAUUGAAAAGAUUGGAAGAGAAGAUUCAUGGACGGGUAUUAGGCCAUUUAUUGUAUUUGAUGCAUGUUGGGGAAAAGGUUAUUCAAAGACGAGUUGCUCUUGUGCUUGCCCAUCUUUGUUCACCAGAUGACCAAAAGAUGAUAUUUAUUGAUAAUGGUGGAUUGGAAUUGCUUUUAGAGCUUCUAGAAUCAACAAACUUGAAGCACCAAAGAGAUGGUUCUGUAGCUUUAUGCAAGUUGGCUAACAAAGCCAGCUCACUUUCACCCGUUGAUGCAGCCCCUCCAUCUCCUACACCUCAGGUCUAUCUGGGUGAGCUGUAUGUAAAUAAUUCUACGCUAUCUGAUGUGACAUUUUUAGUCGAAGGCAAACGGUUUUAUGCCCACAGAAUUUGUUUACUUGCUUCUUCUGAUGCAUUUCGCGCAAUGUUUGAUGGUGGCUACAGGGAGAGAGAUGCCAAAGAUAUAGAGAUUCCCAACAUUCCAUGGGAUGUUUUUGAGUUGAUGAU
rnacentral:misc_RNA from 1 species